UUUACGAGCCUCCUAGGAUUCGUUUAUAUAUUGCAUAUCGCAUGGAUGGUUGUUACUACCAGUAGUAUUUACGUGCUUGAGUGUGGAGCUGCUGAGACAGCUUGUAGGAUAGAUAUCAUGCCAACAUGGUCAGGGUACUACGGGUUUACUCAGUGGCUGUGGCAGUAUGCAGAGAAUACUCUGCAUAACUUCUACUUCCUCUCUAUCUAAAUAAUUAUAGUUCGAAAGAACCCGAUUAAUUCUUCCAAAUACAAUUAUUUAGAUAUGGAGGGAGUAGGAUUCUCUUCUUUCUUUUCGCCAAGUGCUCUACUAUUAGCUUUGAAGGCAGAAAAUAAGUACCUUUACAGAUGAAUUGUAGAUCAUCUCUCUGCGCUAUCACGUAGACAUUAUGAUUUUUCUCCAGUGACAAAGGGCCCUCUGUGGUUGCUUUGAAUCGGAGUAUGAACUAUCACUCACUUUGUGUGCAUUAUUUUUAAUGGAAGAGAAAAGCUCCAUAAGCAGCCCGUUGGUCAUCUGAUUGAAUCCCUUAAAAUGGAGAGGGUUAGGACCAUUCUGACUCAUGGAUACCCAUACCCACAUGAGCACUCGAGACAUUUCAUGAUUAGGAAGACUAUCAAGCCAAACUAUUCAAACUUUAGUCGUUGGUACAUCGCUUGGGUAUAUAUUUUUUGCAGCACUAUACCAUCUCCGUAGUUUUCAAUCAAUGGGGUUGGAUUUGAGGAUGAGUCUUUCCCUGUUCCUCGCUAUUUAUAUUUCCUCUCUAGUUUUCUUGAUCGUCUUCCAUGUCGUAUUUCUUGGCCUCUGGUAUUUGGGUCUUGUUUCUCGCAUGUCAGCUUGACUCGCAUGACAGAGAACAAGCUAGAGAUUCUAAGAUCUGCAUUUUCUUUCAUGGCAGAGAACAAGCUAUUUAUAAUCCAAAAUUGUGCAGUGAUAGGUAUAGCUUGCUGCGUGUUCUACAGCCACUGCGGUAACAGGACUCUUUCAAGGGACAAAUCUAUUGAUCGUACAACUUCUAGCUGAGUUGCAUUUUCACUGCAGAGAAAACAAUAAUACACUGAUUUCAAAGCUAUUGCGAUUGCAUAAGUUUAAAGACAAGACUUGCUCGUCCUGGUUUGCUCCGGUUGGCUCUGCCGAAUGCUUCCAAUGGAUGUGAACACUUCAACUUCAUUUCACCUGUCUAUUCUUUGUGGGCUUUUACACAGCCAAUUAUGGCGUGGAGCGGUCAACUGGAUGGGCUCUAACUCAUCCUUCAACAAUUUUGGAGUACGAGAAUGUGAAGAAACUGUUGAAAUCGGAUUUUCAGGACAUGGUUUGUUGAUA